rnacentral:rRNA from 1 species
GCCUACAGUUAUACCAUAUUGAAUCGAGUUUCAUCUGAUCUCAGUUUUAAGUGGUUUGGGACUGGGCUAGUAUUCUGAUGGGAGACUAUUUGGGAAUCCUAGAUAUCAUAAUCA